CGAACGCUGGUGGUAUGCUUAACACAUGCAAGUCGAACGGACUCUUCAAGCUUGCUUGAAGUAAGUUAGUGGCAAACGGGUGAGUAAUACAUAGGAAUCUACCUAGCAGUAAGGAAUAACCUUCGGAAACGGAGGCUAAUGCCAUAUAUUACCGUGUUUACACGGGAAAGAUUUAUCGCUGUUAGAUGAGCCUUUGUCAGAUUAGCUUGUUGGUGGGGUAAUGGCCUACCAAGGCGAUGAUCUGUAGCUGGUCUGAGAGGAUGAUCAGCCACACUGGGACUGCGACACGGCCCAGACUCCUACGGGAGGCAGCAGUGGGGAAUAUUGGACAAUGGGCGCAAGCCUGAUCCAGCAAUACCACGUGAGUGAUGACGGCUUUCGGGUUGUAAAACUCUUUUAGUAGGGAAGAUAAUGACGGUACCUACAGAAAAAGCACCGGCUAACUUC
rnacentral:rRNA from 1 species